GACGUAGGGGGCGAGCGUUGUCCGGAUUCAUUGGGCGUAAAGCGCGCGUAGGCGGUUCGGCAAGUCGGAUGUGAAAACCCGGAGCUCAACUCCGGGCCUGCAUCCGAUACUCCCGGACUAGAGGUAGGUAGGGGAGAUCGGAAUUCCUGGUGUAGCGGUGAAAUGCGUAGAUAUCAGGAGGAACACCGGUGGCGAAGGCGGAUCUCUGGGCCUUACCUGACGCUCAGGCGCGAAGGCGUGGGGAGCAAACAGG
rnacentral:rRNA from 1 species